rnacentral:lncRNA from 1 species
AGCAUGGGGACAGUUAGGAACAAAGGAGAGAGAAUAGAAUCAGCCAUCAGGGGCUAUAACUACACUCUUCUUUCCCAACCUUUUCUGGUAUUAGUAGGCAGAAGUCCUUUUGGAUGCGAUGAAGCAUUUUAGGAGUGAACAAUGGUGAGUCAUGUAAUGAAAGGAGAUGUUCUAGGAAAACUUUUCAGUCCCACUCAGUGCUGCCAUCUUUUUCUCUCAGCACUCUGGACUUAAAAUUCUGAGAGAACAGGGUAUUUCCUACCCUUCCUCUUACUUGAAAGCAAUACCUGAGUUAUUAAACAAUCAUUUAGACAGUAUGAAUAAACCAAAAUUCACCUUGACACUCCAUCCCCUAGAGGUAACCAUUCUUUUCUAGUAUAUAUUCUUCCAGACCUUUUUCCUGUGUAUUGACUUUUAUAUAGAUGUACAUUCCAAUAGUUUGGAUUAGCUCAUCCAUAGCAGGGUGGUUAAAACAUGGCACAUUUUUAUGAUGCAUCUGGUACCAGAAAAGGAGCUGGCUUUAUGACCUUUACUUGAGUAUUUUUUUUGUGUGUGACAGUUCAACAAUUCUGACUCCUAUCAUUGUUGGCUGGACAGGCGUUUUCUUUUUAAUUCUUCUAUGCAAGAAACUGUGGAUUGUUUUUUUCUGGCUAGCUGGGGCCAUUUUCUUUCAAUAGACAGUCCUAGAGUUUCUAGUGGUUUUCUUUAAUUGUAUAUGCAUGAGUGUGAGAGUGUGUGUGCCUGUAUCUGUAUCUGUGAAUGCAUCUGUAUGCAUAGUUUCUUAGUUGUGGACAAUGCAACUUGGAAUCAUUUUAGUUUUCCAAUUGAUUUUAAAAGUUUGUCUAUAAAAGAUGAGACAAAUUUGCUGUAGAAGUUACCACUACUUGGUCAAAAUAGAGAGUUCUGGGGUUUUUUUUGUUUGACAGCAAUCAAAAGUAUGGCCCACAGAUAGUAAGGGUUAACCACCCAGAUUUUUGUCAGAUAAUACAUACAUGUCCAUGUAAUUAAAAGUCUUCAUUUGACAAAUUCAUAUGGUAAAUGAGCAUAAAAUGAAUAUCUUUUAAGUAUUAGAACAUUUCUAUUUAUGCCUAUUCCAGUGGUAUUUGUGGUCACUAGGGGUUGCUGGGUUAUCCAAGUGAUUCAGCAUGCUUUCAGAAUUGGCAUCCUCAGGUGAUUGUCCAUAGCCUCUUGCAAUGGUGCCUCAUCUUGGGGAGGCUUUAGAAUACAACUUUCAUUUAGCUUAUUAUUAAUUUUUUUUCUUGUUUUGCAGUGGUUGGCUAGAGAAGGGUGUGUAGCAAUAAGUACACACACUUACUGUGGUUUACCAUAAUUACCAUGGAUAGCAAACUGCUUUUUUUUUUUUUUUAAAAAAAAACUCCUGUGUCAUCUCUGAUGUUGUGGCUAAUUUUAAGACUUUGAUUUUGCAGCUAGGAUUAGCAGAGAAUGACCUACCUACUUGAUUAAUGAUGUCUGCAUGGGCUUACUAAAAGGGUGUGGGGAAUGGUGGCAGGAGUAACUAUCAUCGAGAAUAUAGGGAAAUGGGUGUAUUCUGACUUUGCAUAACUUUGCUACUCACAAUAAGCAAAGCUGAACAACUUAAAAUUGAUUCCCUGUUUUCUGUUUUCACUAUCCAACUAGGAUGAACUUUAAGUUCGUACAUAUACUUUAAAAUGGAAACAAACAUAGCCUGUCAUGUCUUUAUUUAGGCUAAGUGCAUAUGUAUGUAUAAGUAAUGCAUAUCCUUCACUUAGUAGUGCCUUCAUGAAUUCAAAGACACUUGUCACAUGGUGCUCAGGAAAAAAAGUGCCAAUACUCUUUUUUUUUUUUUUUUAAGAAGUACUAGUUUAGGUAAGGUAAGUGAAAUUCAGUAGCAUAUCAGUGCUUUACCUUAGUCACCUUUUGUGUUUUGAUCACCCUUAGUCAUUACUGGAGAGAAGAGUUUGAAUUCAUUUGUGGUUUUGCUUUAGUGGCAAACCUCCUCACAGAGAUGAGUUGCCCUUCUUUCCCCUUGUGAUAUUUGGUUAAUAUAGGCCAUGACCUUUGAGGGGAAAAGGCACAGAUUGCAACUUUUCUUUCCUGCUUUUGUGAAUCAGGCCAUGUUCACACAGGGUCCUUGAAGGUGACUGGAGUGAGGAAGCCAUGUACCGAUGACUUAUCAAUUUUUGGUCUUAUAACAUUCUCUCUCUCUCUCUCUUUUUGUAGCAUAUGGCUUCCUCUACUGUAUGUUGGCAUUUGCCACUUUUGGUGAUUUGACUCCUGCUGGUUUUUUUUUUCUUUUGGGGGAGUGUGAUGGCAGUGGAUAUAGUCUUAGAUGAUGUUACUAAUAGAUCAAGUCCAUUAGUGUCUUGCUCUAGAGAAAAUGAAAGACUCACUGUGUGAGUUUUCUUGCCCUCUGGUUUUCAGAAUUCUGUGUAGUUUCUCAACAUUUGCUUUCUACCUGCCUUGAAGAGCUUUUAUGGAAAUCAUGGUUGAAUGUUAGUAAAUUUCUAAGAGCUUUCCAAUAUUAUCUAUAAUUAGCUAAAAAAAGUCAUAUGAACUUUUCUCAUUCUACCUUUUUAAAAAUUUUAUUCACUUUAUCUUUUUCUUCAGUUUUGAUAGAUGAUUAUAGAGUUCCCCAAAAUGGCCUUGUUACUAUUUCUAUAUUAGGUAUAUUAUUUCAGAAAAGAAAAUAAUCACUUGAGAAUGGUGGAGAGUUCAGAGGGGCUGUUAACCAUUUAAUUUAGGAUUGUUUAUACAUUUAUUUACCUCUUUAAAAAAUUUUCUUCAGUUAAUAUUCAUUGACCACUCACUAAGUGCUAUGUUGCUAGUAUUUAUCUUUGCUUUCUAAUUAUUUUUUUGUAAUUUUUUUGCUUUCUAAUUUUUGAGUGAAUUUAAAACUCACUGCUUUAUUAUUUAAUAGCUUAGAUACACUGACUAUCUUAAUUAUAAUUGACUUUCCAAAAUUUUAACUUUUUUCAGUUAACUAGUUGAAUAGUAUUUAUCUUUCACAUUUGCACCCCAACUAUUGUUUUAACCUAAACAUAAAUAAGCAAGCAUUAGAAAGUAGCAUGAUUGCUAUUAAAAUAGCCUUUUCUUUGUGUGUUUAAAUAUUAUUAGAAACAUAAGCACACGAAUUUUUUUUUGGUCUUUUAAAUGUCUUUUUUGUAGCUAGUUAUAAGAUGUAUAUAUAGCUUAUAUAUGUGUAUAUACACAUACAUAUACAUUCAUACAUAUAUAUACAUAAAAUGAUUCUUGCAACAGUAGUUAUGGGUAUUUAAGUGAAAAACUUGUAACUUUAGAAGUUAAGAAAUUGGAAAUAAUGGAAUUGGUUUAAAAAGCUAGUCUCUAAAUUAACUUAGAAACCUAAUAGCAAGUACGGAUUUUGAUUGGUAUAACUAAACACUUUAAUUUGAAAAAGUUUCAGAAUAGGAUUUCUAUACCCAGGGGAAAAUAAACUUCAUUUAAAAAUAUAUGGAUACUUAUUUUGUGAAUAUUUUUUUCUUUUCCAAAUUCCAAAAGGUGUAUACUCUAUAUUUUUGUCAUAAAAAUUCUGCUUGUUGAAAAUAUUGUAGUAAUUUUAUAAAUUCAAUAAAAGUGAGUGAUGUGAACAGUGUGGGGGAAAAUGUUUAAUAAAUUUGCCAUGCCACUGAGAAAAACUUAAAUACAGCAUGUUUUGAAAGUUCGAGGAAGAAUAACACUUUGCUUUUUACAAAGAUGACUGGUUUGCUGCACAUUUAAAUGUAAAAGCUAGUUGGCUAUUUUAAGAUUAGUGCUGUGAUGUGAGAAAAGAUAGUAAGAUGAUAGCUAACCUUUAAACGAGAGCGUACAGUGCAUCACCCUAUUUGUUUAGAUCAGGAGUUCUCCACCUUGGCUGCACAUCAGAAACCACUAGGGUGCAGCCAGGCACAGUGAUUCACGCUUGUAAUCCCAGCACUUUGGGAGGCAGAGUUGGGCAGAUUGCUUGAGCUCAGGAAUUCAAAACCAGCCUGGGCAACAUAGUGAAACCUCAUCUCUCCAAAAAAAAAAAAAAAAAAAA